rnacentral:rRNA from 1 species
UACGUAGGGUGCGAGCGUUAAUCGGAAUUACUGGGCGUAAAGCGUGCGCAGGCGGUUCGUUAAGUCAGAUGUGAAAGCCCCGGGCUCAACCCGGGAACUGCGUCCGAUACUGGAAGGCUUGAAUCCGGGAGAGGGAUGUGGAAUUCCAGGUGUAGCGGUGAAAUGCGUAGAUAUCUGGAGGAACACCGGUGGCGAAGGCGACAUCCUGGACCGGUAUUGACGCUGAGGCGCGAAAGCCAGGGGAGCAAACGGG